UGUUCUGGAAGAGAAUUUGGUCUUUAGCCAUACCCCAAAAAGUUAAAGCUUUUUAAUGGACAGUGAGUUCCAACAGUGUAGCAAGCAGAAACAAUUUGUACAAAAGAAAAUCCUCUGAAUCCCCCAUAUGCCCUAUUUGUCAUCUCCAGCCUGAAACAGUUGAGCAUAUGCUGUUUUUCUGCCCUCAUGCAUAGGUAACAUGGUUUGGUUCAAUUUUGAGUUAUACUCCUGCAGUUAAUGAGUUUGGUUCUUUUACUGAUUGGUGGAAAAUGAUGCUCAAUUUUUCAAACUCAACUGAUAAAAAAGAAUUAAAGCUGGUGAGUCUUUUGUGCUGGCAUCAAUG
rnacentral:misc_RNA from 1 species